rnacentral:tRNA from 1 species
GGGUUGGUACCGGGGCGGUUUGGAUAGUUGGCAGGCUGCGGGCCUGCCGGUGGUACCGACUAUCGUUCGAGCCGUUGCUAAUUGAC